GAUUAACGCUAGCGGCAGGCCUAAUACAUGCAAGUCGAACGGGAUUCAAAGUAGCAAUAUUUGAUGAGAGUGGCGCACGGGUGAGUAACACGUAUGCAAUUUACCUUUAACUGGGGGAUAGCCCUCCGAAAGGAGGAUUAAUACCGCAUAAUAUAUUGAAAUGGCAUCAUUUAAUAUUAACCUACGGGGUAAGAUGAGCAUGCAUCCGAUUAGCUAGUUGGUGUGGUAACGGCUCACCAAGGCAACGAUCGGUAGGGGGUCUGAGAGGAUGAUCCCCCACACUGGUACUGAGACACGGACCAGACUCCUACGGGAGGCAGCAGUAAGGAAUAUUGGACAAUGGAGGCAACUCUGAUCCAGCCAUGCCGCGUGAAGGAUUAAGGCCCUAUGGGUUGGUAAACUUCUUUUAGACGGGACAAAACCCCUUUACGUGUAAAGGGUUGAUGGUACUGUCAGAAUAAGCAUCGGCUAAACUUC
rnacentral:rRNA from 1 species